UACGUAGGGGGCUAGCGUUAUCCGGAAUUACUGGGCGUAAAGGGUGCGUAGGUGGUUUCUUAAGUCAGAGGUGAGAGGCUGCGGCUCAACCGUAGUAAGCCUUUGAAACUGGGAAACUUGAGUGCAGGAGAGGAGAGUGGAAUUCCUAGUGUAGCGGUGAAAUGCGUAGAUAUUAGGAGGAACACCGGUGGCGAAAGCGGCUCUCUGGCCUGUAACUGACACUGAGGCUCGAAAGCGUGGGGAGCAAACAGG
rnacentral:rRNA from 1 species